AAUUAGCCCUGAUUGAAGUGGCAUCCUCGAAGCGCAGCGAAGAGAUACAGCGUAAAGCAGGACGAAUC
rfam:Flavobacterium segetis strain DSM 19741 genome assembly, contig: Ga0131139_104